GAUGAACGCUGGCGGCGUGCCUAAUACAUGCAAGUCGAGCGAACGGACGAGAAGCUUGCUUCUCUGAUGUUAGCGGCGGACGGGUGAGUAACACGUGGAUAAACUACCUAUAAGACUGGGAUAACUUCGGGAAACCGGAGCUAAUACCGGAUGAUAUUUUGAACCGCAUGGUUCAAAAGUGAAAGACGGUCUUGCUGUCACUUAUAGAUGGAUCCGCGCUGCAUUAGCUAGUUGGUAAGGUAACGGCUUACCAAGGCAACGAUGCAUAGCCGACCUGAGAGGGUGAUCGGCCACACUGGAACUGAGACACGGUCCAGAAUCCUACGGGAGGCAGCAGUAGGGAAUCUUCCGCAAUGGGCGAAAGCCUGACGGAGCAACGCCGCGUGAGUGAUGAAGGUCUUCGGAUCGUAAAACUCUGUUAUUAGGGAAGAACAUAUGUGUAAGUAACUGUGCACAUCUUGACGGUACCUAAUCAGAAAGCCACGGCUAACUACGUG
rnacentral:rRNA from 1 species